CGCAUCUGUGCAUGCAGCAUAUCAAUAAGCGGAGGAAAAGAAACUAACAAGGAUUCCCCUAGUAACGGCGAGUGAAGCGGGAAGAGCUCAAAUUUGAAAUCUUAAAGGGUUUCCCUUUACGGAUUGUAGUUUAAAGAAGUGUUUUCUGUUGAGGUUUUGGUAAAAGUUCUUUGGAAUAGGACAUCAUAGAGGGUGAGAAUCCCGUAUUUGACCUUUACUUUCAACUUUGUGAUACACUUUCAAAGAGUCGGAUUGUUUGGGAAUGCAGUCCAAAAUGGGUGGUAAAUUUCAUCUAAAGCUAAAUAUUGGCGAGAGACCGAUAGCGAGCAAGUACCGUGAGGGAAAGAUGAAAAGAACUUUGAAAAGAGAGUUAAACAGUACGUGAAAUUGUCAAAAGGGAAGCGUUUGACACCAGUGUUGUUUUUCUGAAAAUCAAUUAAAGAACUGUUUAUGCUAAGUUGUUUAGACUUUAUCAGCUAACUGUGUAGUUUUGAGCUUUUCUUUAAUGCACUUUUCAGUUAACAAGUCAACAUCAAUUUCUUUUGCUGUAAAAAAGCUUGAGGAAGGUGGCUUGAGAUUCGUCUUAAGUGUUUAUAGCCUCUUGCCUAUGCAGUCGGAGAGAUUGAGGUCUGCAGCGUAGAUCCUUCGGGGCUAAAUGCAUUUGUGCUAAGUUAUAGCAUUUUAUAGACAACUUGUUGACUAUGAUUUGUCUUGUAGCUUACUCGCUUAUGUUAUUUUACCUACGCUUAGGAUGUUGAGUCAUCACACAUCUCU
rnacentral:rRNA from 1 species